rnacentral:rRNA from 1 species
UACAGAGGUCUCAAGCGUUGUUCGGAAUUACUGGGCGUAAAGGGCGCGUAGGCGGUCAGAUAAGUCAGCUGUGAAAACCUCGGGCUUAACCCGAGGCCUGCAGUUGAAACUGUUUGGCUGGAGUGUGGGAGAGGAGAGUGGAAUUCCCGGUGUAGCGGUGAAAUGCGUAGAUAUCCGGAGGAACACCGGUGGCGAAGGCGGCUUCCUGGACCGACACUGACGCUGAGGCGCGAAAGCUAGGGGAGCAAACGGG